rnacentral:sRNA from 2 species
AACCAACUAACUACCCGUACGUACGAACCAACACAACCAGUUAGUUGAAACUACAUUUUUUCAAACACAAUAAAAUUAUAAACUAACUAGUUGGUUAGUUAGCUAUACAAAACAAGUCCUUUGGAACUUGUGUUAUCUUACUCACAAAGGAAUAUGCGGUCAGAAGUUAGGAAAUUACCCGCGCGAUCUUUCCUCAGCACAGAGGGAGACCUUCCCAGUCGAAGUGCUCGAUCAAGCGUUCCGAGUUUUGUCUUCGGGCGAUGUGAAUAACUUCAUUACCGGCUGGCAAACAUAGAGAGGAAAAUGCGGCUUGAUGUUGACUAAAAUUACUACGAGCUAUGUAUAUCUUGAUAAACGGAUCGGGUCCUCAAAACCAGGACGGAAUAAAAAUGUUCUCCAAUUCUACCGGUCAUCCUGUUUUUUCCCCCUCCUGGCACUUGUGCGUCGAUUCUUGGAUAUUCCCUGAGACCUAGCCGAUAAUACGGACUUUGAAUUGGCUGCAGUGGCUUGCUUUGGUCUUCGUUUGGAUACAGCCUUAGGUGAUUUGGUAGACGCCGUCUCACCUGGGAUUUCAGUUUCCCUAGGCUCCGGUGGUUGCUGUUGUUGUAGUCGUUUGCUUCUACGUAGAGGUGUGCUAGCAGGUUUAGAGGGUGUUCUAGUUACAUCUGGUCCCGGUAACGACGGCCCACCAGAGGUUACUUCUGCGGAUGGAUUCGGUGGUUGCUGACGUCCACGUCGUCUCUCUGGGGGAGACUUUGAUACCCUUGAUGAAUGUACCGGGCCUAGAAAACUUUUGUUGAGUGGUGGUUGUCUAUCUUCGCUAGAAAAUCUCUGACCGCCAGAUCGUUCCAUCUGCCCCGUCACGGGAAAAACAUCCUCUCCUCGUUGUCUCCCGGAAGGUGGGUUCGAUUCCGAGGAAUCCUCAGCGUCACCGUUAGCGAAUCUGACCGAGUUAUCCGCAGAAUGUCCUCGCUGAGGUGUGCUCACUACACCAGAUGUUUGGCGAGCAUCUGUUUCAUCGGGAGGAAUGGGGUCAAAAAGACGUGGCAGAGGUGCUUCUCCAGCAUCGUGGGAGUCAUUCCCAAGGGAGUUCACCUGAGGAAGCGGGAGAAGAUCAGCUCCAAUCUCAAGAGGCCUCUCAUGCUUCCAGUUCAUCCCAGGUAGUAUACCCCACUUUAUGUCCCAAAUCCCUCGUCGGACCCAAGUGCUCUUGAUAUUCUCGUACGCUUGAGUAUUAAUGUCGUCCGCGGUAGUAGCAGGGGCAGUGACCCCCUCACCCCCUGUCUUUCCUUGGAUCAGUUCACUCUCUUUCAACACCUGGUAAACAAACUGAUGAAAAGGGCGUGAAGCCUCACGUUCACGCUUGAGUGCGGCCCGCCGCUCUGCAAUAAGUUGCUUCUCUUGAUCACUCUUUUGCCGCCUGGGUUUUGGCUCUGUCGGGAAAAAAGAGAAGCGAGAUUGGGGUGUCACUGGUCUAUCAGUGUCCGAUUCCGAGUCAGAUUCUUCUGGCUCUUCAUGCUUCCACUUCGUUGAAGCUAAAGUAGUCCUACCAUUCCACUUGUCGUUCCAGAUGCCCUGCUCGAUCCACCGCUUCUUAACACUUUCUUGCGCGAGACUGUAGAAGCUUAUUCCGAUCGGGACAUGUUCUGUCCUGUUCAUAGCUGCGUCGGUGAUCCGAUUUACCUCCGCCUUCCACUGAGCCGUGAAUUGUUCGUAAGGACUGGACGCUCCAUGCUCCUUAAUGAGACGAAACCGUUGCUCUUCCCGUCGUUGAUUCUCUUCGCGUAUUCCCUGGUCCUCACCAGGCGGAAUUGGACUCUGAGACAAUGUUGAGUUGUGUGACUGAUGAGAUUUGUAUGAUGGUGGAGAAUCGCUGAAUCGUCUUCUUGUGUAAUCGAGUAGCUGCGGAUCCCGCUGCAACGCUUCCAAGGCCAUUUGAGCCCUAAUUAGCCCAUCCCCUCGAAUAUCUGGAAAAGCCAUGGCAAGUUGUUUGCUAUCAGUAGAUAUCAGCAGAGGCG